rnacentral:lncRNA from 1 species
CUCCUUCGCCCCGCCCCGUCCGCGCAGCUCGUCCGGCCCGCCCGCAGGCCAGCUUCUCUCGGGAGCCUCCACCCAGGCGCAUGGCUCCAUGAAGCAAGAGGAGGAGGCAGAGCGCGAGAGAUCCCGUCCGCCCCAGCCGCGUCUGGGCCAGGAGAAAAGCAAAACCAUAUUCCUGCUGCUGUCAGUUUUGAUGCACUGAGAAAACUUCAGAGACCUAAGCUUUUUCCAGAGAAGAGAAGCUUUACUGGUGUUCCAGCCCUAAGAAACUUAAAUCCUCAGUGUGACACAACUCAGUCCUUCUACUGCAGCAGCUCUUUUAUAAAAGCCUCCCAAAGCUCCAAGAAGGAACAAAGAAUGUGACCCAGUAAGCUCACACCAUAAGUCUAUAUUGCAGAAACCUUUGUUCAACAAAACUGCAGAUGCUCUGUUGAAUCCACUGGAGAUUGUCCUGAUACUAAGGACAAGUAUGCUCAUAUGACAUUAACAGACAAGACACUUUUCAGAAAGACAGGCAACGUGUUGGACCUUCCGGAGCUUCUCAGAAGACAGAGGGUUUUCUUUUGAGGUAAAUUUGAUAGUACAUUUUGAUAGUACAGGAGGCGAUACGGCAUGGUGACAGAAAAGCGCCGGCUUGGUUAGCGGGACCACCUGGCAGGGCUGCAGGCUGUGCCACUUACCAGGCAGGGGACCUUGGGCCAGCUGCUUGGCCUCACUCACCCUGUUUCCUCAGCUGCAAUUGGGAUGAACAGACUGCCUGCUUCGGGGUUGCCUAAAACUCACAUUGCUUAAUGAUGUGAAAUGCUUAGCGCAGUGCCUGGCAUAGAGAGAAUUCUCAUUAGAUGAUACCUCAGCUGGGCUUUAGGAGCUACAGAAGAAGCUGCAUCUCCAUGAGCUCAGCGUGUUUCUAGCUUUCCUUUUUGUUUUCUAUUCAACCUUUCACCCAACUCAGCUUCUCAAUCCCUAAAUGACAAAGGUUUGGGAAGGAAGACUUGGACCGAUGCUUGCAUUUGUUUCUGAGAAUUAAACGUUAUGUUUUCUUCAAUCCAAA